rnacentral:lncRNA from 1 species
AGGUGAAGGGCAUGGACAUCAGAUUGUUCUCCCCUCAGUCUUCAGUUUUUCAGCUAAGUUCUGACAUGACGACACAGACUGAACACCCUCAGACACCAGGCAAGACGAAAUCUACAUAAUAGCAAAGUGCUGGGCACACAGAAGGACAACGUGAUGAAGCGCCAUCACAUGGCUGGUAGCCUGUGGUGAGUCACCGGACUUCUCGACUCCCACCUCACUAGGGUGGAAGGAACAGUAACCACAACGCUCUGCAACUCGGGCUGCGCCCGCAUGAUUGGAAACAAUCUGUGAAAUUGUGGAGUGAACAACCCCGAAGAAAUAGACUUCUAAUUCUAGCCUUUUGGAGAUUAUUAACCCAACUCCCAGAUUCUACAGAUGAGAAAAGGGAGGCCCAGGGAGGUGGAGAAACAUGUGUAGGAUCACAGAGAUGCCUUCAGCUCUCCAAAACAACAGAAAUGAUCAAAGAUGGAGGCAAGAAGACCAGAGAACCCUAAAUGUUUACUGUCUCCAGUGUGUUUGGAAACAGCUUGGACCAGUGUAGAGUGCUGGAACAGAGAGUCAAGAGCAUCAGGUUCGAUUCCCACCCUUACAAACUGCUCAGCCUAUGGAAAUUACUUUAUGUUUCAGGCCUCACUCUUGCCAUCUUUAAAAUGGCGACACAUGUACACACCCCUCCACAGUAAAUACAGAGGUCCUGCAAGCCAGGAUGUUAAGUACUUAGGAUGAAAAUGAUGACGAUUAAGUCUAUUCUAUCACUUGAUCUGAUUCUCUCUGACUAGUCUGCAGGGGGUAAUAACAUGGCCUGCAGAUGAUCCAUAAUCCACCAUCUUCUGGUGAAAAGAGAGGA